rnacentral:snRNA from 1 species
AUUGGACCCUGACAGGCAGACACCAUGAUCAAGUAGGUGGUUUUCCAAGGAAGAGUUUCAUCCACUGUACUCCGGUAUGCUGACCCAUGUUAUUUCCCCAAAUGUAGAAAAGUCAACUGCAUAAUUUUUAGAAGUGGGUGACUGCAUUUGUACUCUCACCUG